GACGAACGCUGGCGGCGUGCCUAAUACAUGCAAGUCGAACGCAUUUUCUUUCACCGUAGCUUGCUACACCGAAAGAAAAUGAGUGGCGAACGGGUGAGUAACACGUGGGUAACCUGCCCAUCAGCGGGGGAUAACACUUGGAAACAGGUGCUAAUACCGCAUAAUUCCAUUUACCGCAUGGUAGAUGGAUGAAAGGCGCUUUUGCGUCACUGAUGGAUGGACCCGCGGUGCAUUAGCUAGUUGGUGGGGUAACGGCCUACCAAGGCUGCGAUGCAUAGCCGACCUGAGAGGGUGAUCGGCCACACUGGGACUGAGACACGGCCCAGACUCCUACGGGAGGCAGCAGUAGGGAAUCUUCGGCAAUGGACACAAGUCUGACCGAGCAACGCCGCGUGAGUGAAGAAGGUUUUCGGAUCGUAAAACUCUGUUGUUAGAGAAGAACAAGGAUGAGAGUGGAAAGUUCAUCCCUUGACGGUAUCUAACCAGAAAGCCACGACUAACUACGUG
rnacentral:rRNA from 1 species